UACGUAGGGGGCAAGCGUUGUCCGGAAUUAUUGGGCGUAAAGAGCGUGUAGGCGGUCCGGUAAGUCAGCUGUGAAAGUCAAGGGCUCAACCCUUGAAUGCCGGUUGAUACUGCGGUGCUUGAGGACUGGAGAGGAGACUGGAAUUUACGGUGUAGCGGUGAAAUGCGUAGAUAUCGUAAGGAAGACCAGUGGCGAAGGCGGGUCUCUGGACAGUUCCUGACGCUGAGGCACGAAGGCCAGGGGAACAAACGGG
rnacentral:rRNA from 1 species